AUUGAGCGCUGGCGGCAGGCUUAACACAUGCAAGUCGAGCGGAGAUGAGGUGCUUGCACCUUAUCUUAGCGGCGGACGGGUGAGUAAUGCUUAGGAAUCUGCCUAUUAGUGGGGGACAACAUUCCGAAAGGAAUGCUAAUACCGCAUACGUCCUACGGGAGAAAGCAGGGGAUCUUCGGACCUUGCGCUAAUAGAUGGGCCUAAGUCGGAUUGGCUAGUUGGUGGGGUAAAGGCCUACCAAGGCGACGAUCUGUAGCGGGUCUGAGAGGAUGAUCCGCCACACUGGGACUGAGACACGGCCCAGACUCCUACGGGAGGCAGCAGUGGGGAAUAUUGGACAAUGGGGGGAACCCUGAUCCAGCCAUGCCGCGUGUGUGAAGAAGGCCUUAUGGUUGUAAAGCACUUUAAGCGAGGAGGAGGCUACUGAGACUAAUACUCUUGGAUAGUGGACGUUACUCGCAGAAUAAGCACCGGCUAACUCUGUGCCAGCCGCCGCAGUAAAAC
rnacentral:rRNA from 1 species